rnacentral:rRNA from 2 species
UACGUAGGUGGCAAGCGUUAUCCGGAAUUACUGGGCGUAAAGCGCACGCAGGCGGUCUUUUAAGUUUGACGUGAAAGCUCCCGGCUUAACUGGGAGAGGUCGUUGAAUACUGGAAGACUUGAGGCAAUGAGAGGGGUGUAGAAUUCCCGGUGUAGUGGUGGAAUGCGUAGAUAUCGGGGGGAAUACCAGUGGCGAAAGCGGCACCCUAGCGUUAGCCUGACGCUCAUGUGCGAAAGCGUGGGGAGCGAACGGG